rnacentral:rRNA from 1 species
GAUGGACGCUAGCUACAGGCUUAACACAUGCAAGUCGAGGGGAAACGAUGAGAGAGCUUGCUCUCUUAGUCGUCGACCGGCGCACGGGUGAGUAACGCGUAUCCAACCUGCCUCUGACCAAGGGAUAACCCGUCGAAAGUCGGACUAAUACCUUAUGCAGUCGUCGGAAGUCAUCUGAUGACGACGAAAGAUUUCAUCGGCGAGAGAUGGGGAUGCGUCUGAUUAGCUUGUUGGCGGGGUAACGGCCCACCAAGGCGACGAUCAGUAGGGGUUCUGAGAGGAAGGUCCCCCACAUUGGAACUGAGACACGGUCCAAACUCCUACGGGAGGCAGCAGUGAGGAAUAUUGGUCAAUGGGCGUAAGCCUGAACCAGCCAAGUAGCGUGCAGGAUGACGGCCCUAUGGGUUGUAAACUGCUUUUAGGCGGGGAUAAAGUGAGGGACGUGUCCUUCAUUGCAGGUACCGAAUGAAUAAGGACCGGCUAAUUCCGUG